rnacentral:rRNA from 1 species
CUGCAGCUCAAGUGGUGAUCAUUAUUAUUGGGCCUAAAGCGUCCGUAGCCGGUCUAGUAAAUCCUUGGAUACAUCGUACAGCUUAACUGUACGGCUCCCGGGGAGACUGCUAGACUUGGGACUGGGAGAGGUCGGAGGUACUCCAGGGGUAGGGGUGAAAUCUUGUAAUCCUUGGGGGACCACCAGUGGCGAAGGCGUCCGACUAGAACGGGUCCGUCGGUGAGGGACGAAGCCCUGGGGCACAAACCGGAUUAGAUACCCGAGUAGUCC